rnacentral:rRNA from 1 species
GAUACCCGUAGUAAUUCUAGAGCUAAUACAUGCUUAAAAACCCAACUGCUUGUCGGACGGGUUGCAUUUAUUAGAUUGAAACCAAUGCAGCUUUGCUGGUAUUGAGUUGAGUCAUAAUAACUAUGCGGAUCGCAUAUUUCAUGCGAUAGAUCAAAUGAGUUUCUGCCCUAUCAGCUUUGGAUGGUAGGAUAUGGGCCUACCAUGGCAUUAACGGGUAACGGGGAAUUAGGGUUUGAUUCCGGAGAGGGAGCCUUAGAAACGGCUACCACAUCCAAGGAAGGCAGCAGGCGCGUAAAUUACCCAAUCCUGAUACAGGGAGGUAGUGACAAUAAAUAACAAUGCCGGGCUUUUUUAAGUCUGGCAAUUGGAAUGAGAACAAUUUAAAUCCCUUAACGAGGAUCAAUUGGAGGGCAAGUCUGGUGCCAGCAGCCGCGGUAAUUCCAGCUCCAAUAGCGUAUAUUAAAGUUGUUGCAGUUAAAAAGCUCGUAGUUGGAUUUCUGACAUGACUGUCUUGUCCUUUUCAUGUAUUUGAAAAGCGUACGUGGACUGUUGGGUCAUUCUUUGUGAGGAUGUUUUGCUGUCAUUAAGUUGAUGGUGGAAUGGACUUGCAUCGUUUACUGUGAAAAAAUUAGAGUGUUUAAAGCAGGCGUUUGCCUCAUCUUGAAUACAUUAGCAUGGAAUAAUAAAAUAUGACUUUGGUGGUCUAUUUUGUUGGUUUGCACACCAGAGUAAUGAUUAAUAGGGACAGUUGGGGGUAUUCAUAUUUUAGCGUCAGAGGUGAAAUUCUUGGAUCGCUGAAGAUGAGCUUANCGANGCAUUUACCAAGGAUGUUUUCAUUANCANAACGAAGUUAGGGGAUCGANAUGAUUAGAUACCAUCGUAGUCUACCAUAAANUAUGCC